AGUGGCGAACGGGUGAGUAACACGUGGGCAAUCUGCCCUGCACUCUGGGACAAGCCCUGGAAACGGGGUCUAAUACCGGAUACUGACCAUUGCAGGCAUCUGUGAUGGUCGAAAGCUCCGGCGGUGCAGGAUGAGCCCGCGGCCUAUCAGCUUGUUGGUGAGGUAGUGGCUCACCAAGGCGACGACGGGUAGCCGGCCUGAGAGGGCGACCGGCCACACUGGGACUGAGACACGGCCCAGACUCCUACGGGAGGCAGCAGUGGGGAAUAUUGCACAAUGGGCGAAAGCCUGAUGCAGCGACGCCGCGUGAGGGAUGACGGCCUUCGGGUUGUAAACCUCUUUCAGCAGGGAAGAAGCGAAAGUGACGGUACCUGCAGAAGAAGCGCCGGCUAACUACGUGCCAGCAGCCGCGGUAAUACGUAGGGCGCGAGCGUUGUCCGGAAUUAUUGGGCGUAAAGAGCUCGUAGGCGGCUUGUCACGUCGGUUGUGAAAGCCCGGGGCUUAACCCCGGGUCUGCAGUCGAUACGGGCAGGCUAGAGUUCGGUAGGGGAGAUCGGAAUUCCUGGUGUAGCGGUGAAAUGCGCAGAUAUCAGGAGGAACACCGGUGGCGAAGGCGGAUCUCUGGGCCGAUACUGACGCUGAGGAGCGAAAGCGUGGGGAGCGAACAGGAUUAGAUACCCUGGUAGUCCACGCCGUAAACGGUGGGCACUAGGUGUGGGCAACAUUCCACGUUGUCCGUGCCGCAGCUAACGCAUUAAGUGCCCCGCCUGGGGAGUACGGCCGCAAGGCUAAAACUCAAAGGAAUUGACGGGGGCCCGCACAAGCGGCGGAGCAUGUGGCUUAAUUCGACGCAACGCGAAGAACCUUACCAAGGCUUGACAUACACCGGAAACCUCUGGAGACAGGGCCCCCCUUGUGGUCGGUGUACAGGUGGUGCAUGGCUGUCGUCAGCUCGUGUCGUGAAAUGUUGGGUUAAGUCCCGCAACGAGCGCAACCCUUGUCCCGUG
rnacentral:rRNA from 1 species